rnacentral:rRNA from 1 species
UACGUAGGGGGCAAGCGUUGUCCGGAUUUAUUGGGCGUAAAAAGCGUGUAGGCGGUUUGGUAGGUCCGCUGUGAAAACUCGAGGCUCAACCUCGAGACGCCGGUGGAAACCAUCAGACUAGAGUCCGGAAGAGGAGAGCGGAAUUCCUGGUGUAGCGGUGAAAUGCGCAGAUAUCAGGAAGAACACCCGUGGCGAAGGCGGCUCUCUGGGACGGUACUGACGCUGAGACGCGAAAGCGUGGGGAGCGAACAGG